CNGAGGAGCUUGCUCCUUUGACGUUAGCGGCGGACGGGUGAGUAACACGUGGGUAACCUACCUAUAAGACUGGGAUAACUUCGGGAAACCGGAGCUAAUACCGGAUAAUAUUUCGAACCGCAUGGUUCGAUAGUGAAAGAUGGCUUUGCUAUCACUUAUAGAUGGACCUGCGCCGUAUUAGCUAGUUGGUAAGGUAACGGCUUACCAAGGCAACGAUACGUAGCCGACCUGAGAGGGUGAUCGGCCACACUGGAACUGAGACACGGUCCAGACUCCUACGGGAGGCAGCAGUAGGGAAUCUUCCGCAAUGGGCGAAAGCCUGACGGAGCAACGCCGCGUGAGUGAUGAAGGUCUUCGGAUCGUAAAACUCUGUUAUUAGGGAAGAACAAACGUGUAAGUAACUGUGCACGUCUUGACGGUACCUAAUCAGAAAGCCACGGCUAACUACGUGCCAGCAGC
rnacentral:rRNA from 1 species